UACGGAGGGUGCAAGCGUUGUUCGGAAUUACUGGGCGUAAAGCGCGUGUAGGCGGCCUUGCAAGUCAGACGUGAAAGCCCUCGGCUUAACCGGGGAAGUGCGCCUGAUACUGCAAGGCUUGAGUACGGGAGAGGGAGGCGGAAUUCCCAGUGUAGAGGUGAAAUUCGUAGAUAUUGGGAGGAACACCGGUGGCGAAAGCGGCCUCCUGGACCGAUACUGACGCUGAGACGCGAGAGCGUGGGUAGCAAACAGG
rnacentral:rRNA from 1 species